AACCCCCUCAAGCACUGCUUGGUGUUGGGCGCCUUGUCCCGCCCCGCGCGCGGACUCGCCUCAAAAGCAUUGGCGGCCUGUGUAUUGGCUUCGAGCGCAGCAGACUCGCGCCUCGCGAACCUCUGGCACGGGCGUCCAGCAAGACGCACCCCACA
rnacentral:misc_RNA from 1 species